GGCCUCAUCGUCUAUCGGUUAGGACGUCACCCUUUCAAGGUGAAGAGACGGGUUCGACUCCCGUUGGGGCUA
rnacentral:tRNA from 1 species